GUGCUAGUGAAACUGCCCUCAGAGCAGAAAUAAACUGUUGGCUCUCAAGUUUUUCCAGACUAACCGGACUGGCCAAUGCCUGAGGCUCUGUGUUCAAGAUAAAAGUGCCUAAGAAAGAAAAGUGCAGGAGAAAGAAUUGUGCCAUGAAAAAUGGAAAACUCCUGAGAAGCUGUUCCAGCGUCAGGAGAGCAGCAGACAAGCUGGACUGGGGAAGAUUCUUCCUGCAAGACCUGCAGAGUGUAUGACACAUAACCAGCACCCAAGAAAUGUCUACCGAGGAAUUAAUGAAUGAGGAAAUACCUCUGUACACUCACCAGACACUGGCUGCUGGUUGUCACGGUGCUAAGAGCUGUGGGAAACAUGAAGAGCAAUGAGACCAGGUCCCUGCUCUGAGGAGACGUGUGCCAGCGAAGUUUCUCUCCCACGUGAGUGUGCUACAAGAAAAUCUGAACCCGAGAAUCUGAUUCAGUAGGUCUGCACUUUCUCCACUUUGCCAGAUAAUUCUGAUUGAGACCGUCAAGGCUGUGACUAGUGGGGAGGCAGUAGAGUAUUUUCUGUGCUAGACUGAGGCAGCCCUGAAGCACUGCGCAAGCACAUGGAAAAGAGAAACGAGAUUGGGCCGGGCACGGUGGCUCAUGCCUGGAAUCUUUGGGAGGCCACGGAUCACUUGAGGACAGGGGUUUGAGACCAGCUUGGCCAACAUGGUGAAACCUUGUCCCUACUAAAAAUACAAAAAUUAGCAGGGAGUGGUGGUGCACACCUGUAAUCCCAGCUACUCUGGAGGCUGAGGCAAAAGAAUCGCUUGAACCCGGGAGGUGGAGGUUGCAGUGAGCUGAGAUUGGACCACUGCCCUCCAGCCUGGGUGAUAGAGUGAGACUCCAUCUCUAAAUAAAUAAAUACAAAUAAAAGAAAGACAAGAUUGGUC
rnacentral:lncRNA from 1 species